rnacentral:rRNA from 1 species
ACUGGCACUUGGAGAAGUGGCAAGUCUUCCAGUAUGGGGAGCAAAACAGCUAUGGGUCAAGUCCGAUAUCUUUAGGAGAAGUCUUAUUGUGAGGGCGAGUUAUAUAACACCAUAGGACUGGCCGUCCCAUAUGAAAAGAUUAUAUUAGAAUUGAAUGAAGCUUUGUUUAUAUAUUGAUAAUGACAGUAUAUAUAUCGUGUCUUGACUAAUUGCGUGCCAGCAGUCGCGGUAAUACGUAAGAGACUAGUGUUAUUCAUCUUAAUUAGGUUUAAAGGGUACCCAGACGGUCAAUAUAGCUUAUAAAAUGUUAGUACUUGACUAGAGUUUUAUGUAAGAGGGCAGUACUUGAGGAGGAGAGAUGAAAUUUCGUGAUACCAAAGGGACUCUGUAAAGGCGAAGGCAGCCCUCUAUGUAAAAACUGACGUUGAAGGACGAAGGCACAGAGAACAAACAGGAUUAGAUACCCAAGUAGUCUUUGCAGUAAAUGAUGAAUGCCAUAGGUUAGAUUGAUCAAUUAUAGUCUAGGGUUAGUCUAGCAAACUAAUGCCCUAUGAUAUAAUUCAAAAUAUCUGGUCUAUAAAUGAAAGUGUAAGCAUUUCACCUCAAGAGUAAUGUGGCAACGCAGGAACUGAAAUCACUAGACCGUUUCUGACACCAGUAGUGAAGUAUGUUAUUUAAUUCGAUAAUCC